ensembl:lncRNA
GGAAUUACAGCAUCAAAGACAAUCGUUUCAAGUUGAGUGUACUUACUUGAAAGACAUCUUAGCCGAAUUUGUGCACAGUCUGAAGCACCAUCCCUCUGGCACCGAACGAGCACAUUCAAAUAAGCGUUGCAGGAGAUUUCCAAAAUUAAUUAUUCGUAGUUAUCGAGACAAACAGCAAUGGCUGGAUUUCCACAUUUAAUAAUAGACAAAAAAAAAUGUUCUGUCAUUCUUUUAUGUACAUCAAUAAUUACAAGGUCAGUAAGCUAUUAUCCUCAAGUUUUACAUGUAGUUGUCAUCAGCUUCUAGUAAUGCUUGUUCAUCCUACUCUGCUGUCUUACAUACAAAAUAUGCACUGUAGUCACAUUUUUAAAAGCCGAGAGAGGUUCGCCAUAAAUGAUUUUUUUUAAACCAUUCAACAAAUAUCAUUCACAAUACUUUCUCAUUAUUUACAAAAGAACAGCAACUGCUAAAUUAUACAUAUUAACAGCCUACUUCCUCAAGAUAUAUAAUGCCUCUAUACAAAAAGGAAGGAGGAGGAAAAACUAGAGGGGGUAAUGCCUGAAUUUACAAUGACCUUAUUCAGAUGCUUUAACCUAGGUGUUACAGCAUUUUAAGUACAGGUUAAUGCAGCUAGUGUCUACUUGUGAAUAUUAGGAACGUUUCCAGUUACUAAACAGACUUCAUGAACAUGUAUCUGCUGUACAUUUCUACCAGCGAAUACAGAGAUUAAUAAAGUGAAAUAAGGCCACUGUAAAGUUUCAGUGUUACCCUAGUAAAGUUUGAGGCCUGGAAAGCAGAGCAAAAUAGAGAAAGCUGCCCAUCUAUUCGAAUCAAAAACAAAAAAAAAAGGACAGGUAAACAGGGCAGUGACAGUGUACACGCUUUAAACGUUUCCCUUUGCAAACUUCCACACUCCCUCUCAGAUAUUUUGAGCUGCUCAGGAGCACUUCACACCCUGGUAACACCGAAUGGUAGCGGGAGGUAAUCGGCUGGAAAAUCUGAACUUUAGGAUCCAGGAAUCUCGUAAUGCGGCAUCAGCAGAGUGCCCACGCUAAAGUUCAUGUUUACCAACAGGGCUGGGCUUUAACGCGUUUAGACCAAGGGGAGAAAGUCAACAGAUUUAGCUUCGGCCUGCCCACGUUGACGUUAAAACGGAGUGUAUUGUGCUCUUAGGUUUUGAUUUGUCGCAUCAAUUUGGUCUUACAAAAAACACAGGACACAUACUGGAGCUGGAUUUCUGACUUUUUAAAAAAAAGGCAUUUCAUAUAUAUAUUCUCAUGCCAUGCUGGCACAGAUUCCUCAACACAUAACGAGGAAAAAAAAGCCAGUGAUUCCACGUUUGACGGUUGAAAACAAAAAGCAGCUUUCCUGCAGCUUUAAAACCUUCCUCCAAGCAAUAUUUAAUACUAAUCCACCAAACAAAAUAGGGCACACUGAGGCCAUCUUCCAGCUCUGUAGAGGUAUAAUCAUUUACUAUUUAAGGAUGGCAAGACUAAAUUAGCAAACGCAGGCCCUUUUCCCCCAUAGAUGCUUUACAAUAAAUGCCUUACAGAUAGAUUCAAACUAUUAUAUUCCAAGUAAAGGUUUUGAUUAAAAUGUGACUCCAAAAAUAAAUAAGAGGGGAAGAAAAUGAAUGUGCAGGUAUGUUUCUUAGUAAUUUGAAAGGACGGUUAUGUUUGACUGGUUUUAAUCUGGGAUGGUUAAAUAUUUUCCCUGUUGCUGCCAAAAAUUAUUUUAGCACAAAUUUGAAUGAUUACGUUUUGUAUUUACACUUGAAAUUUUUCCGCUACAAAUACAUAACAUUUUUUGAGUACAGUUUCCAGUUUUGCGCUUAAAUGACUGCUAGCUUAUCCUGAUUGCACAGACACCAGAGUAGCUCCACCCCCACUGGUCUACAGGUGGAAACCUUUCUGUAAAGCAUCGACUGCAGGACGCAAUCGAUUUCCAUCAUGAGCCGUGUUUAAAGGUACCCUGUAGGGUUUUUUUUUUUUUUAUCAUUAAUGCUACGCAUCAGCAAUUUUUUUAAAUUGUACACAAACACAUCUGUCCCAGUGAUUUGAUGCUAAUCCACUGGGGAAAAACAAAAGAAAAAAAAGCAGCAAUGCAUCAGAGCAAAAACAUGCCGUGCAGGUUAGCACAUUUAAAGGUGCAAUAUGUUUAGAUUUAAUUAUUCCAAAGAAGUGUAUGCAUCACACAUAUCGACCGAAUUUGGCAUGCUAACCUGCCAACACUGACCCGUACUUUUACACAAUUGCACUUUGCACUAAAGCAUCCAGUCUGCACUCGGCACAGCAUCAGAGAAACACCCCCCCCCCCCAAAAAAACCAACUUUUCUUUUAUACGGACACUGAGGACCGGGAACUUUGAGCAGCAGACGGCAGACAUGAGCACUGUUUGUGCCUCAUUGUGAGUUUUAAAGAAAGUCAGGCUAAGAAAAAAAAAAAAACAAGGCUGCUUAGGAUCCAGACUAGCUGCUAACGCUAAUGCUAAUGCAAAAACACUGACCUUCCCACUGCCACCCUAGAGUAAGGUGUUCUACAUAUUGCACCUUUAAAAUUUGGCUUUGCAAAAGAAAAAGUAAAAUCCUUCAGUAUGUUUGCAAGCCGUCAAAGGUACAUGUGAUGCAUCUGAGGAAUACUGACUAAAAAUCCAAGGCGGUGCUUUUAACACUAACGAAAGGCGACUAAAUGCAGACAGAAGACCACAAAAAGUGGCUAAUCUCAAAAAUUAGUUAUUAGUUGUUCAUUUAUAAGAUACAGGCUACGCUCACACGUACACAGAUAUUUUUGAAAACACAGAUUUUUCUAUGCGUUUGCGCCUUUCGUCCGCACGUAAACGGCGUUUUCGGUCACUGAAAACUGAGAUUUUUAAAAACGCCUGCCAGGGUGGAUAUUUUCGAAAACUUUGUUUUUGCAUUUAUGUGCGGACGAGGAAAACGGAGAAAACGCAGCGUCAAAGAUGUGCGCCUAUUUUGAGGUUACACUGUGCGCCGCGUUUUUGUUUCGGUGAAAUGAAUUUCUGCCAUGGUGGACUUAGACAAAAUACUGUUACUGUUAAUUUUACUCUCUGUAGUGUUUAAACGCUAACAUAUAUACACACAGUUACUGUCCCUACACACAUAGGACUCAGUUCUGCUUCUAUGCGCCAUCUUUGUUUACUCUUUCCCACCCAGGCUUCUAGACUUCUGAUUGGCCAACAUUUCUACAUGGUUAGGAAUAUAUCGCCACCUGUUGCUUUGGCAUGUUCAUAGCAGCGUUUUCCUUCAAUUUUGCAUUUACGUGUGGACAGGAUUUUUUUUUAAAAACAAAAACGGAAAAUCUCCGUUUUCAAAAAUACCCGUAUACGUGUGGACGUAGCCACAAUGUAGCUGAGAUGAAAACAGCAAGACCUUUUUGUCCAUCAGUCAUCAUUGGGGGGAGAUGAGGUUAUCAUGGGGCGACCUAACUGGACAACAGUAGCUGCAGCUGGGCGUGGCUUCACCCUGCUGAGUGCAAAUGAGUUUGCUGCUCGGCAUGGCUGAAGCACACUAAGUAGGGCCUUUAAAGCAUUAGUUGGCUGAAUGGACUUCUCUUCAAGUUCUGUAGAGCUAAAUAUGCUUUGAAUGCGCGCACAGGCCAAAUUU